rnacentral:lncRNA from 1 species
AAGAACCAGGACUGAACAGGUCGGACCGUAGGCCAGUCGACGGUCCGUUGGUCGGGGAUCCGUGGUUCACGGUAGGAAAUUUAUUUUAAGGGCACAUGGGUCUUUUCUAGUUUUAGUUAAAUCAAUGUGGUGUUCUUUUGCCUAAGUCUAAAACACCUAUAUAAGUAUUUUUAACUCCCAAAACCCCUCACUCAAGUCAUUUUGUAGAUUCCCGAAAAGAAAACCCAAAUCCUCUCUCAAAUAUUCUCUCUCUAGAAGGUGGAAGAAGAAGAAGGAGAUUGAAGCAAGGUCAAGAUCAAGUCUCCCAAUCUUCAAGCUUUUGUGGGCAUUGUGACUAAGG